UUUCAUGAUUUUGAUGCUUUACCUUUAAUGAUUAUGCUUAAUUAGUAGGGUUACUGAUUGAGUUGAUUGUGAUCGACCGACACUCACACUCUCCCUCUCUCUCACUCACACUCUCACUCUCUCUGUCGGCCGAACCCAGCAACAAACAGAGCACGGUUUCUCCAAUCUCUCUCUAGCACCACAGACCACCAAAUGACACCGGACCACGUCCUACGCCUUCACCUCUUCCUUGCGCAGCUGCCGGUGGUAUCUUUUGGCCGUCUCGUGAGCCGUACACGGCGGUGGAGCACGAGGCCGGUUUAACCCGAUUUGGUCCCGAGCUUGAUAACUCGAGCUACAAGCCACCAAUCCUUGCCAAACUCCAUCCUCAGGUUCGUCUCAACCUUCUGAAACUCCCAGAAGCACCCUUGCACGGCGGCGCGGCUCGUAGCAGCUGCUGAAGUCAACCCCGAGCUAGAUCGAACGGAACUUUCGAUCCAGAUAUCUCAAGCUGUGGAGCUUCGUUUCGAGUGAUUCUUGAACUGGUAAACUCACCUUGAGUUUCUGAACAACUCUCUAGAAGGAAUCGAAGCCUGAAAUUGAAGUUUUGACGUCGAAAUCAAGCCUUGCCGGAUUCUGCAAAAUUCUGGAAUUUUUCCGACCACCGAAGCUUUCGAUCGGUAUAUCUCGAGCUACAGACCAUAUUUUUCUGUACUUCUUGAACCAGUGAGUUCUUCUUGAGUUUCUUAACAACUCUUCAGAAGGAAUCGAAGCCUUAAAUUGACGUUUUUACGUCGAAUUGGAGCUCGCCGUUUUCUGCAGUUUCUCGCCGGUUUCUGGAAAAUUCCGGCCACCUUCAUACUGUUCAAGGUGGUUGAUGGAUUGAUUGGUGAACGAUUUCGGAUCGUUGUUUUGAGCUGUUAAGAAGACGCAGCGGGAAUUUAGAGCGGGUAAUCCUACAGGACAGGAGAACCAGGACGGUGAUCGUGCGGUUAGAGCAAUGGUUAUAGUUUUACAGCAAUUGUAAUAGUGAGGCGAGUUAAGCUCAUUUGAGCAUUACAAUUUGAUUUGGUGGGAGUGUGCUGUAAUAAAUAACUUGAGGAUUUGGGUUAUUGUAAAUUUGAGAGUUGUGAAGUGUGGUUGUUUGUGAGAAAAAAAUUCAGGAUGUUAGUUGUAAUUUGUUAUUAUUCAUGUUUCGGAUUUGAAUUGAUUAUUCAAAAUUCGGGGCGUGACAGUUUGGUAUCAGAGCGUAAGGUACAUAUUUGGUGAUAAUCAGUACCUCCCGAGUGAUGGCCCGUCUGCAGCGGAUCCCCAUCAUAUACUCUUCGGUACUGGUAUAAUCAUUGGGUAUGUCUUAGUAUGGGGUCUAGACAACGUGUAAGUCCGUAGGACGGUAGAGUUGUCUACUAAGUUCGUAUUAGAAUAAGUUUAGUUUCCGCGAGUUGUGAUCUUCGAGGAAUAGGAACCUCUGGAUUUAACUCUGAUGAG